rnacentral:rRNA from 1 species
UACGGAGGGGACUAGCAUUGUUCGGAAUUACUGGGCGUAAAGCGCACGUAGGCGGAUUUGUAAGUCAGGGGUGAAAUCCCGGGGCUCAACCUCGGAACUGCCUUUGAUACUGCAAAUCUCGAGUCCGGAAGAGGUGAGUGGAAUUCCUAGUGUAGAGGUGAAAUUCGUAGAUAUUCGCAAGAACACCAGUGGCGAAGGCGGCUCACUGGCCCGAUACUGACGCUGAGGCACGAAAGCGUGGGGAGCAA